AUUGAACGCUGGCGGCAUGCCUUACACAUGCAAGUCGAACGGUAACAGGUCUUCGGAUGCUGACGAGUGGCGAACGGGUGAGUAAUACAUCGGAACGUGCCUAGUAGUGGGGGAUAACUACUCGAAAGAGUGGCCAAUACCGCAUGAGAUCUACGGAUGAAAGCAGGGGAUCGCAAGACCUUGUGCUACUAGAGCGGCAGAUGGCAGAUUAGGGAGUUGGUGGGAUAAAAGCUUACCAAGCCGACGAUCUGUAGCUGGUCUGAGAGGACGAUCGGCCACACUGGGACUGAGACACGGCCCAGACUCCUACGGGAGGCAGCAGUGGGGAAUUUUGGACAAUGGGCGAAAGCCUGAUCCAGCAAUGCCGCGUGCAGGAUGAAGGCCUUCGGGUUGUAAACUGCUUUUGUACGGAACGAAAAGCCCUGGGUUAAUACCCUGGGGUCAUGACGGUACCGUAAGAAUAAGCACCGGCUAACUACGUGCCAGCCGCCGCGGUAA
rnacentral:rRNA from 1 species